AUUUUCUUUUAAGAAAAAAGGUGCUUCAAUUGACAAAAUGUCUCAUUUUAUCAUGAAGAAUCUCCAUAAAUAUGAUGGUUGUGACUUGUGAAUUGGAAAUCUGUCUUUUAAAACAAGUUCAGCUAGAAACAAAAAUAAGUUGAGGCUAUAAAGUGCACGCUAUGAGUAAACUAACAAAGUUCCAUGGUGCAUAGUAAAUGCUAAGUUGUUCACUGGCUACACAUGUGGACUACACCAGUUUUCAGUAGGGUUUGGUCACUA
rnacentral:misc_RNA from 1 species